rnacentral:rRNA from 1 species
GAUGAACGCUGGCGGCGUGCCUAAUACAUGCAAGUCGAGCGAACGGACGAGAAGCUUGCUCCUCUGAUGUUAGCGGCGGACGGGUGAGUAACACGUGGAUAACCUACCUAUAAGACUGGGAUAACUUCGGGAAACCGUAGCUAAUACCGGAUAAUAUUUUGAACCGCAUGGUUCAAAAGUGAAAGACGGUCUUGCUGUCACUUAUAGAUGGAUCCGCGCUGCAUUAGCUAGUUGGUAAGGUAACGGCUUACCAAGGCAACGAUGCAUAGCCGACCUGAGAGGGUGAUCGGCCACACUGGAAAUGAGACACGGUCCAGACUCCUACGGGAGGCAGCAGUAGGGAAUCUUCCGCAAUGGGCGAAAGCCUGACGGAGCAACGCCGCGUGAGUGAUGAAGGUCUUCGGAUCGUAAAACUCUGUUAUUAGGGAAGAACAUAUGUGUAAGUAACUGUGCACAUCUUGACGGUUCCUAAUCAGAAAGCCACGGCUAACUACGUG